rnacentral:piRNA from 1 species
UGAGCUGAUUAUAAAAGUUCCCUGUGUGU